GCCUGGGAACUUCCAUAUGCCAUGGGUGCAGCCCUAAAAAGACAAUAAAUAAACAAACAAACAAAUAAAAUCUUGAAACUCAGCAAUUUCCCAGUAAAACCUAAAACCUACUAGCAUGUGUAAAAAAUAUGCUUCCAGAACCCUAAGAAAAUGUGAGUUCAAAAAGUAAUGAACUAGUUAAUUUUUUUCAAAGUUAAAAAAAAAAUUUUAAAGGGUGUUUCAGUUCUUCAGAAAUUUUAAUUAACAAGAACACAUCACCCCCUGAGUAUUUUUGAUGAGAUACUACUGAAGCACUUCAGACAUUGAUAUUACCUAAUUCCAAAUAUACUUCAGGGAGCAUUCCUAAGGGACUGACUUUAAGUGAUUAAAAUAAAAAGAAGAGCAGAGGGGCCUUAGAAACCCAUCAAAUUCUCUUACAGAUAAAACCCAAAGUGUUGACUGAUGUAUGGUCACAGAUUUCUAAACUAUCCUUCGAGAAAUGUUUUCUAUUUUGUCUUCUCUUUACACUUUAUCAUCGCAAACACUAACAUUUGAUGAGGCAUAACGGUUGUGUCACAUCAGAGGAUCAUCGUUCCAAACACGGCUUCUAUUUUAGGCUUGGUGGCUGACACAUGGUUCAUUUUGGCAUCUCUCACUUGACAUCCUUGAGCCUUGCCUUCCCCUGCAGGAAUGCAAUUACUCUUGCUUAAAUUUCAUACGGAGGCUUAACCAUGGUUUACAAAGUGGACGGCUAGCUAGAAAAUUACAGCCACAAAAAAACUAAUAAAAUCUCCAGGUUACCACUGGCCUUGCCGCAAACUCAAAAGGCGAUUCAAUGCAGCAUCGAAUUCAAGAGCGCUAAGAUAACAACUUAGAGUGAGCUCCAAAAGGAAAUUUCUUCAUUUGGGUAAAGUCACAACAUAAAUAGAUGCUAUUUCAAAAUGCAUUUGAAAUUAAGUGCAGCAGGCAAAUGGAAAAGAGCCAGCAGAGAAAAAUGAGCUGAGUGUGGUUCAUGGCCACUAAGAUCCUGCAAAUGACCCUGUGAGCAAAUGGAUUCAAGAUCACAUGGCCCUGGAACCCUGGACCCACAGCUGUUUGAUGCCCAGUUGUUGCUAUCUUUGGCAUCUCCAUAUGAGGGCAUCUGGGAACAACCAGCCGUGUUGGAGAAGCCGGUGUUACUGAAUUCUGCUCGCACUAACUUGACUCUCCUUCUCCACUGCUGUGUACAGAUUUGCUCAUUAAGAUGGACCAAGGCAGCAUCCUUUUCCGGGAACCCUUUCUAAUACCUUGAGCUGAAAAACGUGCUUGGUAUCAAACUACAGAAAUAACUUACACCAGUCUUGCUUGCCACAGAAUCAGAAUCGUUAUAAUAGGGCUUAAUUCAAAGCUAAUAGGAAGCUUUAUUGAGUGAGUCAUGGUAAUUUGUUCUUUAAUUCCAUUUCAGUCAGUGCCUCUUCACAUUCAGGAAGUAAUUUUUAAAAUCAAGUCUAAAUCAUUUCUAUCUAAAGUUAAAAGCACAGAGCAUAUGUGACAGAAAAACACCCCAGCCUCAAGAAUCAUAAUUCCGUCUCAGUAGGGCAAUAACAUGCAAAUUACUUACAAAAAUGUGAGCUUUAACUGCUAGGUUACCAGGAAAAAAUUAUUCAGAAACAGCUAUAAUAAAACUUUUUACAAAUUCUAUAGUUCUUUGCCUUCCUUCAGCACACAGGUGCUCCUAUAAGGCCCAUAAACCCCAGCAUGAAACUGUUGGUCUAUAUUUAGUGUUAACUUAGCCAAGUAGUAUAAGAUUCCAAAUAGUAACUUUUCCAUAAUGCCUAAGGUUUUUAGUAAAUAUGUUACUGAAACUAUGCUUUAAAAAGAAACGGGAAAAAAAAAAAAAAAAAAAAAAAAAAAACCCACCGUGCCUUGAUUCAACUGGUAACUGAUGAGAUUCUUACUAGAUUGAGAUUGAUGUCCUUAUUUGGCUGAUGUGAUUUGUAAACGGACACUUUUCCCCACUUCUGCCAUGAUGAGCUCACAUACAUAAAUACCGGGUAGCAGGUGGAGCUGCCACUCUGACAACUAACCUGCCCAGGACUCCAGACCAACCAGAGAGUUAUCAGGACAGAAUGAGGUUGUAACACCCGAACCAGGAUGAGGGCUGAUCAGAGGACUCCUAGAGCUUCCUGUAGCUGCAAAAGUGGACUGUGCCUGGGAGAUCGUAUGGCUACAGACACGCUGCCCCCACUGCCAGUGAUGGACGCACUUUAUCUCUUCACCUUUCUUUAAGGCUUUAUUCUCGGAGUUUUUAUGCAUCCUCCUUUCUUCGGAAUGCCUGCCUCUUAACGUGGUUCUCACACACACAUGCCAAGGAGUCUGCCCUCUGGUGGACAUAAGAGAAACUACAGUCAGGAGACCAGCAGUCCCACAAGCCCACUUCGCAGAUCGCAGGGCAUUUACUAUUCCAGCAGGACACCAAGAGUUAAGUGGCGAACUGCCCUGUGAAGUAUGUAUUAAUCCCUCAAAGAUGCGGGAAAUGGAAACCAGACAAUUCUUCACACCAGUCUGAAUUCAGCCGUAUUUUACACCAGUGAGGGAGGUGAGGUUUCUUUUUUUUUUAUGGCGUGUGACCACUUAGACUUCUGGAGAACCACUUCAGAGCAAAGCAAGAUAACCUGCCUCCUUUUAGCUAUUAUGUAACUGAAAGGUCACAUCCAGAAGUUUUGAGUCACAAGAAAAUAGGUAUUCUCCGGUGAAUUAUUCAAUCGGGAGAUAUUCUAAAGGACUUCUGCCUUUUCCUUUCAAUUAUUAUAUCUCAUUCCCAGGAAACUAAACCAUAUGUCAUCAGUGACUUGAGUCAAAGAUGACAGUUGUUUCAAAAUUAAUGCAUGAACCUCAAAACCAAGAACUUACUAGGCAGGGACCAUUUUAAAGUCCUGUAACCCAUCAAUAUUAACCAAGAUUCAGGGAAUGAAUUGGUCUAUCAUAUGCUAUUUUACUUGCUUUGAAGAAAACUCAAGCAUUCUUACACAUUGAAUUCCAUUAUCCUAUCCAGCAACUACCCCACAAUUUCAUGAGGAAUAAGGCAUUUAACAUACAAAUUAACACUUGCUUCUCUCUUCUUCCCCCUAAAAUUCCAGUAAAAAGGCAAAAUAAGGAGAGAGUCCUCCUGAGGCACAGCAGGUUAAGGAUCCAGUGUUGUCACUGCAGCAGGUCGCGGCUACAGCACAGGUUCAAUUCCUGGUCCAGGAACGUCUACAUGCUGCAGGAUGCAGCAAAGAAAAAACAGAAAGAAGAAAGAAUAAAAAAGAAUAAAAAUUACAAAACCUCAGGAAAAUAGGAAGAAACAAUACUGAGCAAGAUGUCAACAAAUGUAUUCAACACAAAGAGAGUGGUUGGUAUGUGCCUUGGCAGACCCAUCACUGAUGAGUGAGGGGACAAAAGCUGUAGAACUCAGGCAGGCUUAGGAACUGGAGGUAACGAUCGCAGCUAAAUACAGGCAGUUAAUUUCAUGUUAGCCAAAAACAGAAUGCAAAAGAAAGACUGGAAAGCCAUGUCACAGAAAUCUCCCAGAAAGAGAAAGAAAUGAAUAAGAAAUAAGGCCAGAGGCUCAACCCAGCAGCUGUAGGAUCUCACGGAGUUCCAGAACAAAGAAAAUGUGUCAUGUGUGUGGCUGAGGGCAGGAGCUUAACAUUUUCAAUUGCCACAGUCCACCAAAGCACGUAAACCACACGUCUAGAAUAGUAGACAGAGAUUUAAAGAACAAACAAAAACACAUUAGAAGUGAAAAUUGCAUCAGACAUCACCAACACUUUAAUCACAACAGAGCGCUGCCUUCAACUCUGAAUUUGGUGUUCUACCUAGAAUGUUAUAUCCCAAGACAAUUUACCUGUCAGGCAUGUGAAAUUUCAAAAUAACUGACCUCCCGCACACUCAUGCCCAGAAGUCAACCGAAGGAAGUGUUCCACUUUAACAAGAAAGUAAUCCAACCACCAAGACAUAGGGUGCAGAUGUGGAAUCCAGCUCAAAGAGAGAAGAAAACAAAUUCCAGGACGAUGAAAUCUCAGGAAACAGCUGCGAACUCAGAUGUGAGAGAAAAAAAGACACAAGUAUUCUGUUGGGCCCUGACCAUGUAGAAAAUAGAUCAAGAUUAGUUUUACAAAUGUAUGUGGGAUUGCUGGGGAAGAAUUAGUUAUGUAAAAGCAAGACAAGAUGUCCUGUGUGUGGGAGUUCCCACGGUGGCACAGCAGAAACAAAUCUGAUAGUUAGUAUUCGGGAGGAUGUGGGUUCCAUCCCUGGCCUCCCUCAGAGGGUCAAGGAUCCAGUGGUGCCCUGAGCUGUGGUACCGCCACACCUGCAGCCCUAAAAAAUAAAAGCAAAAACAAACAAAAAAUCCUGAUUCAGAAAUGAACAGAAAUAGGCUCACUAUAAUGCAAACAUGGUGAUUUAACAACAAAAAAAAAAUUGGGAGGAGAAAUCUUUUUAGGGCCACACCUGCGGCAUAUGGAGCUCCCCAGGCUAGGGGUCGAAUCAACGCUCUAGCUGCCAGCCUACACCACAGCCACAGCAACGCCAGAUCUGAGCCGCAUCUGUGACCUACACCACAGCUCACGGCAACGCCAGAUCCUUAACCCACUGGGCGACGCCAGGGAUCGAACCCGAAAUCUCAUGGUUCCUAGUCAGAUUGUUUCUGCUGCAUGAUGGGAACUUCUCUUCAGUUCGCAAAUAAAUAAAUAACUGUAUAAACAUAUUACUUAGAAAUCUGAAACCAAGGUGCUAGGAAAAACCUAAAGGCGGAAAUGAAAUGCCUCCUGAGAAAUAAAUGAGAAAGGAUGGAGCAGGGGCUACCUUCCUUAUAAGCUUUGAAAUACUACUAAACUAUGUAUGUUACUUUUAUAAAGAUUAUUAUUUUAAAACACACAUAUAUGAAGUUGAAAGUGUAGGAAAAAAUACUGCUUGAAAUCUCUUCUCUAUAGUUCUAACCUAUUUGGAAUAUAAAGAGGUGACUAACAUGCAACCCCAAGUUCAAGAUUCCAGGUCGGUUUUUCAAGGCACUGUAUGAGAGAUGGAACUCAUCCUCCUAGCAGCAACAGCAACUCCAGAGGCCAGCCAGUGAUUUCCAAUUAAGGGGCACAUCAGACCUCCCAGUAGCUUAGAAAAAAUACCUCCAUUGAUUUUGGUCCUUAUUUAUAUGCCUCCACAGCCCCCUUCUGCUUUGUGCACCAAUAUAAAUAAACCUUAUAAAUUCUAAACUGCAGAUAGAUUUGUGCAAUAUAGUCUUAAUAUAACGUAUAACAGUAACAAAAUCCUAAUGCACUGUCAAAAUGCUUACAAAUUGUAAAAAAACGAUCACCACAUUGGGGGAACAAACAGCAACAGUUUUAAAAGUAGUUGGAAUGCCAAUAAUAUAUUGCUAUAUCUCUUCAUUUAUUUUCAUGUUUCCGAAUAUACAGAGUAAGUUGUUUCAGGCUUUCCCUACCCGACUUGGUCAUUGUGAACUCUGUACCUCAACCCAUAAAUGUUUCUUCUAUUAGAAAAGAAGCACUUUCGGUGUGAAAAGAUCUUUAUUUCAAAAAAAAGAGCACAAGGUCUUACACAGCAAGUGAAGUUAGUGUUAUUGCCCUCAGAGGUCAAGGUCAGCAACCUUUCUGGCAGAUACUAGUUCAUCCUAACUCCCAACAGAUGGACUGAAAGGCCUCAUGAUAUAAUUCCCUUUGAUGAUCCCAGUGACAAAAUUAUUAGGUUCCAUUUAAAACAGAAAAUAAUAGUAGCUUUUCCAGAAGAACUAGCUCCCAAAAUUAUAUCUGGAACUCAUUUGGCUAAGAUCUUAAGUUAUCUAUACCAUUCUAAUCAAUUUUUCUGACAACCACACCAUAAGAAGUUUAACCUUGGCUAAUAGUUUUUUGUCAUGAAAUCAAGUGAAAUACCAUAUUUUUGCUCUCUUCAUAAAUAGAAAAUGACCAAACAUUACAAACACUUCAUUCAAGUUUACUGAUUAUAUAUACAGAAUAUUCAAUAAUCAGAACUCACCAUUUGCAAUACUAUACAUUAAAUAUAACCCCUACUACAAAAGCUGUUGGCCCAAGAUAAAAACUGUCUCUAGAGUAAAUACAUUAGAAAUUACAAAAAGGGGAGGGGGGUAUUUACAGGUCUUCAAAUGCUAAAAA